rnacentral:rRNA from 1 species
GAUGAACGCUAGCUACAGGCUUAACACAUGCAAGUCGAAGGACCGGCGCACGUGUGCAUAACACGUAUCCAACCUGCCUUUUGCUCGUGGAUAGCCUGUCGAAAGAAAUAUUAAUACCCGAUAUAAAGGAUGGGGAUGAGUUCCAUUAGGUUGUUGGUGAGGUACCGGCUCACCAAGCCUUCGAUGGAGAGGGGGUCUGAGGGGAAGGUCCCCUGCAGUGGAACGGAGACACGGACCAAACUCCUACGGGAGGCAGCAGUGGAGAAUAUUGGGGAAUGAGCGCUAUCCUGCACCAGCCAAGUAGCGUGAAGGAGGAAGGCUUAUGGGUCGUAAACUUCUUUUAUAUAAGAGUAUGUAUUAUAUGAAGAAGGAUCGGCUAACUCCGUGCCAGCAGCCGCGGUAAUAC